UUUUCUUUUUUUCCCGUUCAUAAUGAUGGGUUUCCUAUUCAUUGCUUGCAUUAUCUCGUGAAUUUUAAGCUAGAAGUGAUAGCUUAGCUUGCUUUAUGGGUUAGGCAUGCAUUUGCGGUGGCUGUGAGAUAAUAAACAGUACAGUAAUGGCGGAUGGAUGGGAAAGAGAAAGCCAAAAAGGGGUUUGGAUUGUUGUUAGUUGGGCACAAGCUUUGGGCAGUUUACAUAGAGGCAAUUGCAAUGGUGGAAGAGUAUUAGCAUUCAGCAAGCUCUUUCUGUAGAUGGUGGCGUUCGAGAUGUUAAGGCUCAUUACCCUCAGCUCAGUUUGAAAAACCUUCCUCAGGAUUAGAUUUUCCAGUACAUAUGGAGAUUUGUGUACUCUAUGUUUUCCCUUUUUAAAUUUUCCAGUAAUUUGUACCAUGGAAAACUUGUGGGAGAGAGUUUCUUGGGAAAGAAAAGGCCAGUUUAUGAGUGUAGCGGUGUGCAGGUAUUCUCUCCUAACCUUUCUACCCGAGUCAUGAACGCCACCCCUGUGUUUUUCCCCUUUGUUCAUAAGGCUGUUAACUGUUGACCAUUUUUCUGAGUUUGUCUUAUGACAUCAAUGGGGUUUGCA